GCUAUAUAACCCAGUGGUAGAGCAUCUGCUUUGCAUGCAGAAGGUUCUAGGUUCGAUCCCUGGCAACUCCA